rnacentral:tRNA from 1 species
UCUUGAGUAGUUUAUAUAAAAUGAUGAUUUGUGGUGUCAUUGAAGCACUAUUUGUGCCUUAGGUA